GGGGGGGGGGGGGGGGGGGGGGGAGGCGGGCGGGGCGGGGGGCGGCACAGUGGGAGCUUGCUCUUGCGGGUGGCGAGUGGCGGGCGGGUGAGGAGUACAUCGGGAUCUACUUUUUCGUGGGGGUUAACGUCGGGCAACUUGCGCUCAUACAGCCUCCGACCUGCGGGUGACAGCAGGGGAUCUUCGGACCUUGCGCGAUUGAAUGGGCCGAUGUCGGAUUAGCUAGUUGGCGGGGUACAGGCCCACCAAGGCGACGAUCCGUAGCUGGUCUGAGAGGAUGAUCAGCCACACUGGAACUGAGGCACGGUCCAGACUCCUACGGGAGGCAGCAGUGGGGAAUAUUGGACAAUGGGCGCAAGCCUGAUCCAGCCAUACCGCGUGGGUGAAGAAGGCCUUCGGGUUGUAAAGCCCUUUUGUUGGGAAAGAAAAGCAGCAGGUUAAUACCCCGCUGUUCUGACGGUACCCAAAGAAUAAGCACCGGCUAACUUCGUG
rnacentral:rRNA from 1 species